rnacentral:rRNA from 1 species
GACGAACGCUGGCGGCGUGCUUAACACAUGCAAGUCGAACGGAAAGGCCCCCUUGUGGGGUACUCGAGUGGCGAACGGGUGAGUAACACGUGAGUAACCUACCCUUGACUUUGGGAUAACUUCAGGAAACUGGGGCUAAUACCGGAUAGGAGCUCCUGCUGCAUGGUGGGGGUUGGAAAGUUUUGGCGGUUGGGGAUGGACUCGCGGCUUAUCAGCUUGUUGGUGGGGUAGUGGCUCACCAAGGCUUUGACGGGUAGCCGGCCUGAGAGGGUGACCGGCCACAUUGGGACUGAGAUACGGCCCAGACUCCUACGGGAGGCAGCAGUGGGGAAUAUUGCACAAUGGGCGGAAGCCUGAUGCAGCAACGCCGCGUGCGGGAUGACGGCCUUCGGGUUGUAAACCGCUUUCGCCUGUGACGAAGUGUGAGUGACGGUAAUGGGUAAAGAAGCACCGGCUAACUACGUG